rnacentral:tRNA from 1 species
GAGGGGCGGAUGUAGCCAAGUGGAUCAAGGCAGUGGAUUGUGAAUCCA